UCAACUCAACUCAACUCAACUCAACUCAACUCAACUCAACUCAACUCAACUCAACUCAACUCAACUCAACUCAACUCAACUCAACUCAACUCAACUCAACUCAACUCAACUCAGCUCAGACCGACAAAUUCUUCAAUGGAAACUCUAUGGUAAACUAAGAAUCACUAGACAAGGAGUGCCUGUAUAGCUCAGCGUAUUGAGCAACUGACCCAUGUAUGGAGCUGGUUGCAGCUGGCCCGGGUUCGAUUCCCGCUUGCGGCCCUCUGCUGCAUGUCUUCCCCUGACUCUUCUCCCAUUUCCUGUCUCUCUCACUGCAGCUGUCUGAUAAAAGGCCAACAGAAACAUUUUUAAAAAGAAUCACUACACAAACCAUCAAUAUCACUGCCUUUCAUAUUAAAACUUGCCACAGUCUAACAAUAUUAAAAAUCAUUUGCUCACUACAAACACUCAACUGAUUUUAUUAUUGCCUAGAAACAAGUAACCUGAAGUGCAACUACUACCAGUGUUUAAUUUACUAAGAAAGUCUCUUCCCAUCACACUCAAAAGUGUUCCUGCAAGAAUCACAAACUAUGUUCCACAUCUGAUCCUACUUUUCUAAUGUAAGCUUGUUCAAAAAAUGAUUUAAUUAUGGGGUGCCUGAAACUCCUACAGUGAUUAAUUUAGAACUAGGAAUACUAACAUUAUCAGUGAAACAUACAGCAGAAAAUAUAGCUCCUUUAUCAAUUAAUAUCUUCAAUUUAAUUACAUAAUAAUGCACAGCAUUUCACAAGAUAGUGUAGAAAAAUAUUGAUAUUCACAACUUGUAAUAUACUUUACUAAUUUCACAAAUUGAUCUUGUUCCAUUUAUCCUGCUAUCAAUUUACUCUAUAAAUGUUAAAAACAAAUUAAAUAUUUGUAUAAUACCCUUAAACUACAGACAUUAAAAGUCUAACACUAUUUUAUUUACUAGAGACGCAUUAAUUUACUUAAUAUAGUUAACUUUUAAGAUUACAAUUAAUUUAAAUCCACCACAAAUGAAAUUUUAGUUUCUCACUAUUGAGCACACCAAUACCAAACCAUUACAUGCUGAAGUUAUAUCACAGAAAUAAUCCAUUUUAUUUUAAAAAAAUAAUUUUGAAAUGAUCCCUUUCCUUUUUACUACUGAUCAUAUUACAUUUUCAAUACAAGAAUAUUAAACUCUACUGCUUACACAAUUAAAAACAUUCCAUUCUACUGACUCGCUCCUUACUACUCUGCAAUCUUUGGCACAGUGUCUCAUUCUCCUAUACUUCCAGCAUUGUCUGCAUUUCCACUCUGUUCAGGGAACACCCUUCUGAGAAAAACAACACUGAGGCUGAUCUAUGAAUUGAAACAUAUAUUUAACCUUUGCACAUCAUUCAAUGGAAAACCACAAUCCUUGUACAUUUCCAUCAACACAUGCAUUGACUCUAUCCACAUACUACUAUGCCAUGACUGAUUUGACACUCUAUACCUCUAAAAAAUCUCAGGACAUACACUCCCUACAACUAACCCAAACACCACUGCAUUGUUGUCAUUAAUAUCACAACCCGUUCCUAACUUCCACAUUUCCUCAAACCAUUCAUUACAUAUUCACAGAGGCUCAUCAUCAUCAUCCUACACACAAACAUCAACCCUGUAAACUUUAACAAUAGAGCAUGCAUGUUUAAAUACUGCCUUUUUAACCUGCUCUGUUAACCAUGUCUGCACAUCGAGGUUGUCAGGUCACUGGACAUUCUCAGUGGGAAGUAGAUCAAAAGAUUCCUCAACCACAGACCACUCUGUUCCAAAACACACAGUGCAACAAUAACUUCAUUCUUCAUUCUGGAACCACAACAUUACACAAUAUAGCUGUAACCCACAACCAAUCAAGAUAUUUCAUCAGACUAGUGAAAGGAUCUCAUACACUAAACACUAUAUCUCUGGCCUCCACCGAGCUCCAAGCCUGACACACAGCUGUGUUAACAAUCAUGCAGUUAGGGAAAGCUGCAUUAGUUUUACAAAGCUCUGACUCCUCCAUCUGAUCACUUUAAAGACAAACACAUGAAGAACAUGCAGACUGUUAAACCUUUUUCAUCAACUCAUCAUUACUCUGUCCUUUUUCUACAUCACCAUUUCCUGAAACUGAGCCUGAUCCUGAGUCAGAUUCUGUGUUAAAUCCAGAUUCAACUUCUUUAUUCUUUAUCUUACUCCAUUCUUCCUGAAAAAGAACAAUGAUCUUAAGUUUCUCAUCUGUGUUCUUAGCUCUGACUAAUGACUGGAUUCCUGCUACACUGACCACCAUAAAUGCAUGAAAUUUAACUUUACCUGUGAAUGCAUCACACUUAGAUUCAGAUUGUUCUUUAUGAAAAUUAUUAAUUGAUUUCACAUUUGAACAACGACUCUCACCUGAUUUGGACUGAUGACAACCCAUGGUUAAUUUCUUUCACUCAACAAUACACAUUCAUAGAUAAGUGUAAUAUGACUGUGCAAUAAUGUAGAGAGAUAUGGGCAACAGCAACAAAGAGAUAUUUGCAAUAGAAUCAUAUGUUAAUUAAUUAGUGGUUGGUAGCUGCCUCAACAUCUCAACUUCUGUCUGUUAUGUCCACUGUUAUCAUUUUAUAUAUGUAUGUGUAUAUAUGUGUGUGUAUAUAUGUGUGUGUGUGUGUAUAUAUAUAUUUAUAUAUAUAUUUAUAUAUAUUUUUUUUUGUUCAGUUAUGGUCUUAUGAUGUUCCCUAAUUUUGAUCUGCCAGUGACACUUUACACAGAAAUUAGCUGUAUGACUACAACCUAUUGUAUUUACAUGAAAAUGUACAUUAAUACAAAUUGUACCAUUUCAAAAACAAAUGAAUAAAUGGAAUGAAAUGCACACACACAGAAACAAAACCACAAUGAAGACAAACAGCAGGCACAUAGCCAUCACUCUCAACUGCAUCUAAACUCUUAUGUGUGUCAAUUUUCAAUUAUGAUCAGGGAAAAUUUCAGUUUGAUCUCUAAACAGCUUGUUUCAGUGUAUGUCACUUUAAAUAUAACUGCUGUCCACACCCACUUCAGGAAGAAAACUCUCUCUGCAUCUAUGAUCAACCACGCAGAGCAAAACAGUUGACCAACCAGCACACUGCUGAGCCAUGAAUCAGUGCAAGAUCAGGGCUUUCAGUCACUCCUAACUUUCUCUCUGAACAAUUAUUUUACCUUGAAAUAAUUGCUGAAUUCAUUUUCCAUCUGUUCAUGUUAACUCAUCACUGCACUGGGGUUGUUAGAUAACAUUGCAGUCAUAAAAUCAGUGUUUUAACAAAACAGAACAGCAGUUUGAAAACUUGCCAGUGAACUUUUUCACACUUUUCCACAGUCUGACAACAGAAAAACUGAAUAAUAGCUAAAUAAAAACAGAUUUAUCAGGAACUGGACUGCAUUAAAAUGCAUAUAUGCAUGAGCAGAGGAGAAGCUAACAUCUGCAGAUAGUUUUUAGGGUUAAAAAUUUCAAUUAAAACACAUUUUUCUGGUAAGACAUUGUUUUUUUUCUCUUGUUCCUCCACAUAGAACUACAGCCAGAUAAAACUACAUGUGUGGUCGGGUGCAGUGUCUCUUCUCUCUGCAUUAAUUUCAUUUUUCAGCUGUUCAUACAAUACAUAAUUAUAGAAUAUUAUACAAUAGGUAAAUCGCACUUGCUUUGCACAUCCACUCUAAACUCCUGACUGAGUGUGCCAGUACACAGAUGCCAUUGUUUAGUUGAGGUUUCUUAGCAACCAAAGCAACACAAACAUUGACUACCAGAAGUUUGGAGCUGCACCCUAUUUUCAGAGACAAAACUACCAUUCAUCACUCAGAUAUGUUUACAGCACCAGACUCCCAGGGAACGACAGGAGAAAGGAGCCACAAUCAAAUAAAUCAAGACCCAUUCAACACUGAAUUUACCAAGACACUGACAAAAAGCAGCCCACGCUUUGGGGCCUUGAGUCACCACUCAUUCUUCUCCCAGCACAACCCUCAUCCACACCGGGUGACACAUAUUCAAGGACUCAAUGGCAGGCCAAUUUGCAUGGUACGAGAUGACUGGUGUGUCACCUCAUCAUUAUUUCCUCAUCCACAUCUCAAGAGCCACGUCCUCAGGAAAUCACCCGGGCCCGCUUUGACCUUCCCACUCACUCAAAACCUCCAUGCAGUCAGCGGAAACAAUAACAAAUCAGCACUGUUUUCAGAAGCCUGGAGGGAUGAACUUAAAGAACUUGUUGCAAAAGUCAAUCUGUCUUUUCGAGCACAAUUGGGAAAAAAUGAGGACCAACCUGAGGAUGAAUUUGUGCACCAAAAGACUCAGUAUUCAGCUGAUACUGGGAGAAUCAUCCCUCUAUCCAGCAAGUCUUACCUGCACAGAUCUCAUUCCCAGCACCUAAAGUAUCCUCAACCCUUCCAGGAUCAAGAACUCACGGUUUUGGAGCUGCUCUGUCAGAUCCUGCAGACAGACUCGCUGUCCACAGUGCAGCAGUGGCUUCUGCUUGCAGGCCAAAGAGAGAAGGACCUUGUGAUGGGGAUGCUCAGACGAGCUCUGGACGGCGUCGACCUCUCAGGCCGUCGUAACCAGUGAACCUUCCAGCAGCUCCAGGCUUUUCAUCCAGGUGCAUCUCCACCAGCGUACAGUCCAUCAUUUGACCAGCCGUGGAGAAAACCCUGGAGAACGAGCUCAUACAAAGCGAAUCCGAUUUCCGGCGAUGACAAACCAGAGAGGAUUGGAGAUGCAGAGGUCCUUGAAAUCCAUGCAGGACCUCAGGAUCAUCCUCAGGAUCCUGCACUUCAGAGUGCAUAAAGUCGUUUUGACUGUGCUGAUAACUGCAGUAUGAUAAUUUUGUUUAUUGCUCCCAUGAUCACAGGUUAUUCUUAGCAUGUUUGCUUUAUACCUCGAUAUUUCUGUGUGCACAUGCUGCUUUCAUCAGAGGACUUCACCAGAUUGCUUUUCAUUUGCACUUCAUUAACACCAUAUAUUGUAGCUGUAAUAGUGUUGCCCCAUGCUGCGGAUGAUGUCAUAUUAUCUAUCAGCUGUCUGACGUAGUCUGGCACCAUAUUAGGCAGCGUUGUAUGAACUGUUGCUUGAUGUGAAUUAAAAUUUCAAAUUGGAUUUUUAAAAAUGAUUUUGUGCACCUAAACAUGAUCUAAUCGAACUAAAAAUGCCAAAAUCAAAGUAGAAAUGCAUAUUGCAUUAUAACAUUGUUGACUUUGUUUCCAGACAGAAAGUUAUAAGUUGCAAUGCAUUUAGCAACACAGUGUCACUUAGGAUGCUAAAUGGUGCACCUGGAAUAGCAAACCUACCUUGCUAAAUGCACAUAAAUCUGCAGCAGGACAGAUGAUCUUAUUUCCUUUGAAAAAUAUGAAGUCCAAAAGUAUAAUUAACAUGAUUUUAAGUAGAGACUUCUCUUGAGAAAUGUGAACUUGAAUUCAUGCAUAAAGCAUGGCACACAUUAGCAUAAUUCUGUAUGAUGGAGGAACCUUUUUCCUUUCCUUACUCUGUGUCCCUUCUGUUGUGGAUAAAAUGCUGAAUGUCUUCAGUAAUGCCUGUAUAGUACAGGAGCACAGCUGUGAACAGAAGUUUAUAUACACUCUGAAAGACAAUGUAGAUCAUGACAGCCUUGAGUUUCCCAUGACUCCUACAACUCUUAAUUUUCUAGAAUGGAAUGACUGAAACACACGCAUCACAAAAAGCAAUCGGGCAUUUUGGGGUUUUCACUGAUAUGGCUAAGUCUGCUGAGUCAAAAAUAUACAUACAGCAAUUCUAAUUUUGGAUUCAGUGUUCCUUUGCCCAUUUUGUUUUUACCUCAGUUUGUUAUACUUGCAAACAACUGAUUGCACAGUUGAUUUUGUAAUCUGAAACAUCUUUGAAAUUGCUCCAAGUGACUUUCCUCACUUGUUGAAGUCGAAAUUUGUUGUUUCAUAUCUGUACUCUGCUCCUUCGACUUUGAGUCUAUCAAAUGGGUUGUAAUUAAGUUGACUCGGGGAAGCAGCUGUAGUCAGUCAUAAUCACUCAUGAAAAUUUAGGAGGCCAUGGCACUUUCAAUUGAUUCCCACAGCUUUCUACAUCACUAGAACUGAUAAUUCAAGUAGCUGUAUGUAUAUUUUUGACCCAGCAGAUUUUGUCAUCGUUCCAGAAGACCUAUAAUAUAUCUUUGAAUGAACCAAAAUGUAUGAUUGUUAUUUGUGACAAAGAUGCAUGUGUUUCAAGGUCUUUACAAGUGUAUGUAAACUUUUGUUCACGAUUAUUUAUGACAUUGCAGAUCAGGUUACAUUCAGCCAGAUAUUAUCAAGAAUAGACCUCUUCAUGUAGCUGACUCAGAUUUCCCAGUCAGCACAUGAAGGACAGAAGGACAGAGGGACAGAGGGACAGAAGGACAGAGGGAUAGAAGGACAGAGGGACCGAGGCCACGAGACGACGACACCCAGAGACGACCAACAGCCAUGAGUGGAGGAACAGGAAGGAUGUUAAGGAGCGUGGAGGAGCAGGAUGCACUGACUAUCUGUCACUACCUGGACCCCCUGUGGCAUCAGCUAGGAGCAAAGACCAAGGCCCUGGUUCAGGACCUGAAGGUGCUGAGGGUCCUCCUGCUCUACCUCACCCAGUACGACUGUGUCACCUUCCUCAAUUUGCUCGAGUCCCUGCGCUCCAGCCAGAAGAACUUUGGCUCCAAUUCAGGUUGCUUGUUCCUGGACUCCUGUUGGCGACUACAUUUUAACCCCAGACACUUGCGUUGAGCGUAAGAGCGUCAGUGACCUGAUCGGCUCGUUGCAGAGCGGCCGCCUCUACACCCAGUGCCUCUCCAUGACCCGCUACUACAGGAAAGCAGUGCUGCUCAUCGAGUUCGACCCGGCUAAACCGUUUUCCCUCAUGGCCUGGUCAGACUUCCGUCAUGAGAUAUCGUCAAAUGAUGUUUCUUCAAAGCUUACUUUACUCACAUUGCACUUCCCUCGCCUCCGUAUACUCUGGUGCCCCUCCCCACACGCCACAGCCGAGCUCUUCCUGGAACUAAAACAAGGCCAACCCGAACCCGAUGCUUCAGCAGCUCAGGCGGUCACAGCUGAGUCAGACCUUGUGGCUGAACCAACAGACCUCUACAACCCCGGACCUUAUGACUUCCUCUUGAAAAUGCCGGGGGUCAAUAUGAAAAACUACAGGGCUCUUAUUAAAAAUGCAGACAGUUUGGCAGACCUAGCCAAACUCAGCCAGAACAAGCUGGCAGAAAUACUUGGGAAUGCUAAUAACGCUAAGUUGCUGUAUGAGUUUCUGCAUAAUGUCGCUGAUGUUCCUGCUCCUGUUCAGAAGACCAAACAGACAUGAUGGACAGUAAAUCAGAUAUUUUGACCGAUGUAUGUGAAUAACUUUUCAGUGACAUCAGGAUCAUUUUUUGUCAUCCAAAUGUGUGUUGUUUUAAUAUGCAGAAUGAAUUUAAUAUUGCAAAUAUUUGUAUUGUAUUUUGGAAACUACUUUGCAAAUGUGUGCAAUUGUAUUAUUUUUACUCAGAAACAAACAAUAUUUUUACAUUGUGCAAUAAUAAAAUGUCAACUUCUUUUGAAAUUUAUAAUAACGUGUUAUUUCAAAGUACAGCUUUCCAGAACAACACAGCUGUUUAAUUAAAUUCAUGUUUGUAAAGCA